rnacentral:ncRNA from 1 species
CAACCAGAGACAGUUUCCGCUGUCUUCGUUGAACCCUGUGAUGACUCUGGAUAACUGUGAUGGUCGCAGCCGGCCUUGAGUCGGCGAAAGAUCUUUCAAAUAUCUGCCCUAUCAGUCUGUUGGUAGGUAAUCUGCCUACCAUGAUAAUAACGGGUAAAGGGGAAUCAAGAUUCGAUUCUGGCGAGUCAGCCUGAGGAAUGGCUAUCACAUCCGAGUACGGCAGCAGGCGCGAAAAUCACCUAAUCCAAACACGGGUAGAUAGUGACAGAAAAUACGAAUACGGGACUAAACUGAAGCUUCAACAUUCGAAUGUGUACAAUCUAGGUCUUUUAACGAGGACAAGCAGCCGCAGUAACUCCAGGUUCAAAAGCGUAUAUUAAAGUUGCUUCAGUUAGAAAGCUCGUAGUUGAACUUGGGUUGUGCGGUCGCGAGCCAUUGCCUGUUCACGAUUUUUGGUUACGAUCAGAA